rnacentral:rRNA from 1 species
CCUACGGGAGGCAGCAGUGAGGAAUAUUGGUCAAUGGACGAGAGUCUGAACCAGCCAAGUAGCGUGAAGGAUGAAGGUCCUACGGAUUGUAAACUUCUUUUAUAAGGGAAUAAAACCUCCCACGUGUGGGAGCUUGUAUGUACCUUAUGAAUAAGCAUCGGCUAACUCCGUGCCAGCAGCCGCGGUAAUACGGAGGAUGCGAGCGUUAUCCGGAUUUAUUGGGUUUAAAGGGUGCGUAGGUGGUGAUUUAAGUCAGCGGUGAAAGUUUGUGGCUCAACCAUAAAAUUGCCGUUGAAACUGGGUUACUUGAGUGUGUUUGAGGUAGGCGGAAUGCGUGGUGUAGCGGUGAAAUGCAUAGAUAUCACGCAGAACUCCGAUUGCGAAGGCAGCACACUAAGCCGUAACUGACGUUCAUGCUCGAAAG